UUAAAGAUAAUAGAAUAUGAAAAAUAUUUAAAUAAUAUUUUUUAAAACAUAGCCUUCCCUACUUAUCCUUUCCCUCCCCCCUACGCACCCCACACAACCCUUUCCAUUCUUGUUCUUCUCUUAACCCCAUUGAUUUUCUUCCUUGAUAAUUUCUGAAUCGACGAUUGGGAAACAAUGAAGAAGUCAUUGAAAUUCUAACUUGUCCAUGGCCAUGGGUUAAUUUUUCUUUUUUCCUUUGUCAAAUUUGUCAGAAGUGUUUGCCUUUAUGAUUAGAUUUUGAACAAAAUUUCAUGACAAAGUCUCCAUUGACAUCCUCAUAUUUGUGGAAAAUUUUAAUUACCUCUGCCUACUUUAGAUUUGUCAAAACAUUUCCUUUCUUUUGUGAGAUUUUUGAAUAUUUGUAUGAAAUUUUUGACAUAAGAGUUUCCUUUGCUUGGUUAGAUUUGUGACAAUAUUGUUGUAUAGGGGGUUUUCUAGUUGGUUGGUUGACAAUCUUGGCGAGCUAUAGCUAGAAAAAAUGGAUAAAAAUUCUUGCAAAAAUAUUUUUUGUAGUGAUUUUUUCAAAUUUUUGUCAUAUAAAACUUGAAUCUUUUUUUUCUUUCUAAAAAUAGAGGAUAAUAAGUUUAUUUAGUAGAUGAUUAUAAAAAUGAUGUGGUUGCUAAUGUGGAUAUGAUGUGGCAUUUUUUUUUCUGAUGUGGAUAUGAUAUGUAAUCUAUGACAUACCAAGUGAGAAACGUGCGGGUUUAAAAUUUUUAAUUUGAACGAGUUUGUCUGGUAGAAACUUCAUGAAGUAAAAGGGUUCAGUUUACAAUCUGAAUCAAGUAUAAGAGACUAUCAGACCAUUUCGCCUUUCUACAGCAACACAAUAACUUUUUAUAGCUUUCUGAUCAAAAGCUCGGUGCUCUUCUGGUUCUUACGGAUUUCAAGGAGGGCAACUGUUCCAGGACGGAAAUGAUGAGGCUUCUUCAUCCCUCCAGUACCCGGUUCUCAUUUCCUUGCAGCUUUUGUUGCUAAUUGCUUUCUUGUCGCCUUUCCUCCCGUGGAAUUUUGGGAUAUUUUCUUUGUUCUUGCCAUGGGUGCAGAUGUUCUAGAGAAAGAAAGCUAAGAUUUAUGCCUAAAAAUUGAGUAUGGUUUCGGAUAGAUUACGCAGAUUGCGAACCAUGUGCUUUGCUCUGCGCUAUAAUUGCAUCUCAAAUGCCUUUUAUUUUUAUUCCUCUAUUUUUUAAGCUUUUCCCGUGUUCGGCGUUCUCUCUGGAGCUUGACUAAUUUGAAUUUUUGUCGGUAAGUGUAGUAAUUUGAGAGAUCUUGAAGAUCAAGGACUCUAGACUUAGACAGAAAUUUAAAGAAGACAGAGAAUUGAAGGAGUAGAGAGGAGACUGCAAAUUAUUAUAAUAGUUGCCAAAUGAUUACAUUUAGAGGUUAUAUAGUGCCUCCUCUGUUAUCUAUCUAUUAGGGGAUUAACGGAUCCUAACUAACUCUAGUAUAGGUCCACACAACUAACUAACUAAGUUAACUAACAAGCUGAAAUAAUGUAAAGACAGUUAUGCCCUUGUAGUCAAUAAUCAUCCCUUUUAACUAUCUUUUACAUUCCCCCUCAAGCUAGGAAGUGAGGAAAUGUUGUUAAACUCCUAGCUUGGAAGUCAGAUAGUGAUGUUGAAGCUUGCUCAAUCCUUUGGUCAGUAAGUCAUCUGCUUGAUCUUUUGUUGAGUUGUACUUGGUGGAUCCUUGAACUAGUUUUUCCCUUGUGAAAUGGCAAUCCGCUUUAAUAUGCUUGAUUCUUGCAUGAUAAGCAGGGUUUACAACAAUUCACAUUUCUGCCUUGCUUUCAUUAAAGAUGACCAUUGGUUGGUUUCCUCCCCUAGUUCUUUCAUAAGUCCAAGUAACCAAACUAUUUCAGUGAGAGUUGUUGCCAUCUUCUUCAUUCAGCUUCUGCUGAACUUUUAGAUAUUGUUUUUUUUUUUUGAGAUUUCCAAGUGACAAGUGAGCCUCCAAUCUUCACACAAUUACCAGUUACAGACUUUCUAGAAUGGGGAUAAGAUUUCCAAUCUGAGUCACAAUAGGCUGUUAUGUGUUCUUCGGAUUGCUUGACAGCAGAACACCUAAUCUAGGUUAUUUUUUGAUGUACCUGACUAUCCUUGUUGCUGCUUCUAUAAGUGACUUUUUCGGCUGCUGUAGAAAUUGAUUUAAGACUUGUACUCUAUAAGAUAUAUCGGGUCUGGUCAUUGUUAAAUAUAGUAGUUUUCCAAUCAAUCUCUGGUAGGUCUGCUGAUCAUUUAAUAGAUCAUGACUGGUCUUCUUUGUAUCUGUUGUAGUGUUAAUGAAAUCAUUUUGCUUGAUUGUCAGCUUGGUGUUUGUAUCAAUAGGAGUAACAGUAGGUUUAGAUGUACUUUGUCCUGCUUCAGAGAUUUCUAGACUGUAUUUUCUUUGAUGCAUUAGGAUCCCUUGCUGUGAUCUAACAGAGGUUUGAAUGCACUUAGUCCUGCUUCAGAGAUAAAUUCUAUCCUAGGAAAUACUUCAGUUCCCCCAGAUCCUUCAUCUUGAAGAAUCCAGAUUUAUAAAUAGGUACAUAUGCGACAAAUAUGGGAGUCAAGGGAACAAGGGACUAUAUGGAACAAACUCGUUAGAGAAAGCGUCUCUAGAUCGAUGGAUAGGGGCAGAAGGACAAAGCUUCAAUCCACCAAGUUGAGUUCUUCUAUAGCUGGCUUUUGCACCGCCAAUAAAGCUUAAACAAGAUGAGAACUUGAUCAGACACAGUAGAAAAGCUCAAAAAAGUGCUUGAUGUGUGUGAAAAGAGGCUUGGAGAGAGCCAGUACUUGGCCGGAGAUGAAUUCACAUUGGCCGAUUUCUCUCACCUUCCAAGUAUCCAAUAUUUGGUGAAUGGGAAAGGCAGAGCAGAGCUCUUCACUUUAAGAGAAAAUGCGGGGAGGUGGUGGGUUGAGAUAUCCUGCCGAGAAUCAUGGAAGAAGGUAGUUGAAAUGCAGAACUCGCCCCCUCCCUCCUAGGACUUGUUGAAAUCGUUUGUUUUGGUAGGUAUUGAUGUGUGGUUUCUAAUGUUGUGACUUCUAUGUUCUCCAAUUAGACUAUCUACAUCCGCAUCUGUGGUUUGAAUAAAGUUUACUAGUUUAGACUUCCUACG